CCUACUUGUAAACUUCAAUUUUUAUUAUUGAUAAUAACAGCUAACAUCAAUGGAAUUUUUGUUUUCCUAUGCAAGACACUGGGCUAGAGAUUUUUACAUAUGGCUUCAUUGAAUUCUUAUAAAAUCCCUGAGGGGGAUGCUAUUAUUAUCCCCAUUUUAUUGAGGAGAAAACAGAGGUUUAGAGAAAAAACUGAUAGCUGAAUGUUGAAUCCAGUCUCCUUCUGAAGCUGUGCUGCUUCCCACGAUGUUGCACAGCUUCACAUGGGGCCAGGCUGCAUUAACUAAGUGUGUGUCCACCAUGAGGAGUAUUUGAUUACGGAUAUUUAGUGCACGUUCAUAUGUGUGUGGGUGUGUUUGCAGCAGUCCCAUGCUGUUCCCAGCUCUCUCGACAGCAAUGACCAGGGCUUUGUGAUUCUCUAGCUCCAGGAGGGGGAACCUGAAAGAAUGGAUAGAGAAAGGCCCUAACCCUGAGGAGAUUGGCAGGCAGGGAGUGGGGGUAAAGUGCAGCCCAGGUCACUGGGAAAAAAGAAAUCUCAAAGUAAGGGAGUGGGGGAAAGUUCCACUUCCAGCCUCAUUAUGAAAGGAGCUUGGGUAUAGAGAGGGGCGGGAGAGCCUGAAAGAGGGAGAAAAGGGAAAGGAAACGUGGCAGAGAGCAGAAGAGAUUCUUGUGGGGCCUGGGCUGUUUGAAGGAACAUGGGCUGGCAAAGGGGCCGCCUCUUUCAGAACCGUAGAGACCUGGAAGCCCAUUGCCUGGAACUCCCAAAGAGGGAGGGCAAAACACCCUAUUAAGGGUGGGACGAAUUGAUUUCCCAAAGAACAGCACCAUUUCCUCCAAGCGCCAUCUCCAGUCCUCCUUAAUCUGCCCUGGAGGCAGCGGGUGACCUCCGAGGAGGCCCCUGGAGGUGUCUUUGUUCUGGGGCAUUCUGCAGCUUGCCCCACACCCACCCCUUGCACCUGGGCAGUAGCCUCCAGGUGCACUUGUCCAUCCUUCGCUGGCUGGCCAGGAGGGAUGGGAGGAUGCCUUUGUAUGUGAAAAGCCACGAAUCCUUCGACUUCAGUUUUCCCUUCCACUUGACACAUCGGCUGAUGGUUUUCCUAUACACUCCUACGGCCACAGAGACCUGCUCCCAGGGGGGUAAAAUAGUUUAAUCUGCAACACUUUAUCUGCUGUAACAACUUCACCGACUGUCUUGGUUCCACCCCGAGGAUUUUCGCUGAGAGAACACGGUUAGAGGGAAUCAGGAAGCAGAGAAAAGGUCACAAAUAAGCACCUCAGGAACAAUGAAAGCUUUUCUCUAUGCAACAGUGGGAGCGUUGCUAGAAAAAACUGGAAAGGUAUUAAUCAGAAGUGGCUAUAAAUCCUCUGGAGUUUUGCUCUUAGAAAACUCCUCAGAGAAAGUCUUGAAGGAAAUGCAGGUCAAAGCCCAAAAAAGCUCUUGAUCAGAGAUUGCCGGAGGAAAAUCUUCCCAGACGUCGUUUAAUAGGCAGCAAUCACCCCAGGAGUGGGGAAGCCAAGUACGCUUGAAACAUGGUUGCAAUUCCUAAUAGAUCUUGCCACACUUAAGGCACUGCAAGCUCCGUCCACCGAACAGCUGAAGCUAGCUGGCGAUUCAUAAAGCCAACAGUUUAAAGUUUAUUAUGAUGAAAGCACUUAAUGACAGCCAUCGCUAGGGGCCCAUCAUUUAUAAAGCUGUGCUGAGUAUUAGACAUGUAGCAUGACCACCAAUUUUAUGUCACAAUUGCUACCAUAAAAUGACCUUUGGUGAUUUUUGCUGCAUGUGGUGGACAGCUCUUCCUUCACAUUAGUGCUCUGUGGCUUUCUUUGCGGACUAUUAUGCUGUCUAACGCUUAUUUGGCACUGUCGUGAGCCUCAACCCUUGUUAUUACCCCAAAGGCCUGUCUUAAAAAAAAUAAAAAAAAGAACUCAUGCUCUAUAACACCACUCCAAUAAUUUACAGUUCUUACCAGCCUGGGUUAGUGUAAUAUUUUAAUGCAAAUAUGCUUUGCCAUUGCAUUUUAUUUAAAAAGAAAAAAAAAGUUCCCAUGUUUCUGGCUAGGACACUAUCCUUUUGAUGGAGUCCACUGAAACCAGCCUCUUAUUCCUUGGUUAGGUCUCAUUGAAUGGGCACUCCUUUCCCUGAUUGCUUAAAAACACCUCCAGGGGAAAAAAAAAAAAAAAAAAGGUUAAUUAAACUUUCCUUGGGAAAGAGUUUUUUGUUUUUUUUUUUAAAGAUCCUAUGUGUGAUAAACCCACCUAGCGCAGAAACACUAAUUCUUAUUUCCCUACAUCCUGUCCCAAUGCACAUUUACAUCUGAGUAACAU
ensembl:lncRNA